rnacentral:lncRNA from 1 species
GCUGGGAUGAUGGUCCUGAGCCACUGCAUCUGGCCUAACUGCUUUUAACCACCUUUAUUUUUCAAGAAUUUUUGGCUUGACACAUCCAGAGCCCAAACAGAAGAGGUCUUCAGAUUUGACCCACGCAUUUCUUGCCAGAAGAAUUUAUAUAUGAAGGCGUUGUGCAAGUUAUUAAUGUUAAAAGGAAUUUCCUCCUCCAGUAAAAAAUCUGAAAUAAAAUUAAUAUUGGCACAAUCUGAGACUAAGAAGAGACACUGGCCAUCCAGGAGUUUCCAUAGGCCACGCUCCAAUGUGAGCUUUCACCACUAGAGGGCGUGAUCUGAAUUGUGCACUCAGCGUUUCUUCCAAGAGUAAUCGUUCCCAACAAGGAAAGACCGUUUUACAGCCCUCAGUACCGCAGUUCCAUGAACUUGCUCAGCUUGGCAGCCGCAGCUAAGGACACCCGUGGUAGUAAAAGCGGGAAGAUGGGCUCCCUGGCUCUUCUUACCAAACUCUGAUUGUUUGGAGCAGUUUGACCAUCAUUUAGCCAGGAAGACACCAGAAGGAUGGCGUGCUGGCCACCAUUGCAUUGCCAGCACAUGAGAGUAGGUGUGUGAAAUGUACACCCUGGGUACACAGAAUUGCCUGCAGACAAAUAUUUAUUGACAGUUAAGAAAAUGCAUUAAGAAUGAGCAUGAGUUCCUGUCCUUAAGAGAGUGCUAGAAGGGAGACUGCUGUCCCCACAAUGGCUGCAGCCCCAUUCCUUUUUCCAAGCUGCCUGGGUGAACAUUCCAGGAUCCUGACAUUCUGUGGAAAUUGAUGAGUGCUUGCUCAAAGGUCGAUGAUGUGCUACAGAUGGCAUCACCUGUUAGAGACAGAGCUUUCUCAAGAGGAGCUUUGAUUUCCUUUACUUCCCGAACUGCUAUUUCACAGUCUCUCAGUAGAUGUCAGCAGCACAGCAAACAUCUCACUGCCCAUCAUGGAAGCAGGAAACCGAGGCUCCAGAGAGCUGGGUAUCUUUCCAAGGCCUUGACACUGGGAGGUGAUGAGUCACGGUUGGCUCUAAAGCCCAAGCUCUUUUCUUCACACCUUGAUGCCGUCUAGCCUGUCCAUGGACCAAUUAGAGCCAGUGACCAACAGGUAUAUCAAAAUGACAUCCCUCCUGGAUGGCACAUCCUCCCCAGACAGCCUGCCCAUUCCCUGGCUCUGACAGGCUAGCAAAUCCCUGAUAACCUCGGAAUGCCUCAAGUUGUGUCAAUGAAGGGCAUUGAGACUUUGAUGUUGGACAGAUGCCCCAUGAUGGAUGGGCACUGGCUGAUACAGUUUCCCACGGUGACUCAGAAGUGCGAAGGAGAAAGGAGGGCUGAGGUGCCAGCUCCAGGCAGGCCAGGCACCCCAGAUGUCAGCACCUGCCCGACUGCCUCUGACAUACCCUCAGACAUACCUUUUGGCAUGUGGAGCCCCAGGUGCCUUUCUUCAUGUCCAGAUAGGAAGACUCAUCUUAAGGGGUGUGGCAGCAACUGAGCAUGUGUACCACCACCUGAGCUGUAGUUCUUGUUUCUGUAAGAGAAAAUGCUCCCACAUUAUCCUACUACACUCUAGACCUCAAAGGUGAGGCAGAGCGUGAGUCAAGGGAUCUGAAAUGAAAGCAGUUGUAGUGAAAAGCCCAUGAAAUAUAGCGCUCAAGGGUAGCUGAGUCUUGCAGGCUGUAAUUUAUGCUGUUUCCUGCUUUGAGAAUGUAUCCCAACCUUUUGGUUACUAGAAAGCCUCAAUUUGAAUAGUAAAAGACCUGAAUUCUGGGUCCUCUAACUUCUCUUCAUGUGUGGCUCAGUCUAACCUGUAGUUUAAGACUCAGACACCAUGCCUUCCAGGAAGCCUUCCUUGAUGUCUCCAAUUCUACAUUAAUUCCUCCAGUAUGAGCUUCCACAGUAACUUAAUCUUACCCUGAGGUGUCUAUAUCAAACUGCUUCCUCACUUGAGGGAAGGCACCAGGUCUUGUUUACAUUUUUGCUCUAUAUCACUACAACACAAGAGAGAAUGUGAUAAAGGUUGUAACAGACCCAGAAAAACCACUCUAGGAGCUCUGAGAAGGGUAGUUCAUGUAAAUACACACACAUAUACAUAUAGUUCAUGUAAAUAUAUGUAUGUAUACACACACACACACACACACACACAGCCUUCAUCAAGGAAGAGAUUGCUCUUAGGAUGUUUUCAGAUUCAAGAUGCUGUAAAAUUUGUAUUGAUGAUUGCUUUUCUUUCUAUCCCUUGUAAUUUCUACACUUACAGCUCAUUGUUCUUCUCAUAGCAUUAAAGUCUUCAGCAUCUGGCAUGAGUGGCUUGUUUUUUUUGUUGUUGUCGUUGUUAAAAAAAAAAAAAAGUACGUUAGACUAUAUUGAGCAGAUCCAUUGAAUAACCACAUUCAGCAUACCUAACAGUCAUAGGAUGUGACUUCAUUUGAGGCACAGCGAUAUCAUUUGCUUGGAUCCUUUCCAUGGUCUUGUUGGGUCGAAUGGCUUUGGUUAAUUGCUGUUACGAACAAGCUGGGGUUCAGGCAGGUUUAGGUCACCAGGCAGGGCUCAGCCCAUAAACCAGAACAUGGAUCUCCUAAGCCCCAGUCAGGGUUCCUUUCCUUUUGGUAACAGCAGGUCCCCUUUGGCCCACAGUCGACUCACAUUUGUUUCCCCAGGGUGUGGAUGGCUACAGGAAAGAGGCCAAGUAGAAGCUGGGGGUGCAGGAGGUUGGGCCAAAGUCAGAGUCCUUGAAAGAUAAAGGUUGAAGGACCAGGACAGGAGACUGUCGAGAGUGAGAAGAAGAGUCCUGGGCUGGCUGUGUGACCCCAGCAAGCCAUGCAUCUGCUCCAGCCAUCAGAAAACCUGUGCACUGUUGGUCUCUGCAGGACCUUCUAGCAUGUAUAUUCCAUAAGUCUAAUUCUAGAAACUCACAAUUUUUGAACAUAAUGAAAAGAAUGAAUCAAAACUUGGAGUUUCAUCAUCUAGCUCUUUUGCUGUCACCCUCUUUGUAUGAUAAAGCGUAUCCCCUGGAGGGCAGAGUCUAUUUUCUCCGUAUUUACAUAAAUAUAUUGAAGGAGACCACCUUGUCUUUUUUUUUUUCCCCUCAAAUGGGAAGUAGCAUUAUACAUUUUCCCUAUUAUAAAGGAAAUUUUGAAAUACAACUCUUACAUAAGAAAAUUCACAAAUACAUAAA